rnacentral:misc_RNA from 1 species
UCUCCGUUGGUGAACCAGCGGAGGGAUCAUUACAGGACUCGCAAGACUCCUACAACCCUGUGAACUUAACUAUAAGCACGUUGCUUCGGCGGGUGUCUCGGAGGGGGUUCUCCCUCCCCGAGACGCUAAACCCGCCGGCAGCCUACUAUACUCUGUCUCUUUGCGUUGGCAUCUCGAGUACAAUCAAACAAGUUAAAACUUUCAACAACGGAUCUCUUGGUUCUGGCAUGAGAAGAACGCAGC